rnacentral:rRNA from 1 species
CUAAGUUUGAUGGCGACCGGCGCACGGGUGAGUAACACGUAUCCAACCUGCCGAUGACUCGGGGAUAGCCUUUCGAAAGAAAGAUUAAUACCCGAUGGCAUAGUUCUUCCGCAUGGUAGAACUAUUAAAGAAUUUCGGUCAUCGAUGGGGAUGCGUUCCAUUAGGUUGUUGGCGGGGUAACGGCCCACCAAGCCUUCGAUGGAUAGGGGUUCUGAGAGGAAGGUCCCCCACAUUGGAACUGAGACACGGUCCAAAAUCCUACGGGAGGCAGCAUG